UACGAGGGGGGCGAGCGUUGUUCGGAAUUAUUGGGCGUAAAGGGUGCGUAGGCGGUUUGGUAAGUCUUGUGUGAAAUCUCCGGGCUCAACUUGGAGUCUGCACGAGAAACUGCCGGGCUUGAGUGUGGGAGAGGUGAGUGGAAUUCCUGGUGUAGCGGUGAAAUGCGUAGAUAUCAGGAGGAACACCUGUGGCGAAAGCGGCUCACUGGACCACAACUGACGCUGAUGCACGAAAGCUAGGGGAGCAAACGGG
rnacentral:rRNA from 1 species